GUGGCCGUAGCUCAGCUGGUAGAGCCCUGGAUUGUGAUUCCAGUUGUCGUGGGUUCGAGCCCCAUCGGUCACCCCA
rnacentral:tRNA from 2 species